rnacentral:rRNA from 1 species
UACGGGGGGAGCAAGCGUUGUUCGGAUUUACUGGGCGUAAAGGGCGCGUAGGCGGCCAGCACAAGUCAGUUGUGAAAUCUCCGAGCUUAACUCGGAACGGUCAACUGAUACUGUGCGGCUAGAGUGCGGAAGGGGCAACUGGAAUUCUUGGUGUAGCGGUGAAAUGCGUAGAUAUCGUAAGGAAGACCAGUGGCGAAGGCGGGUCUCUGGACAGUUCCUGACGCUGAGGCACGAAGGUCAGGGGAGCAAACGGG